GUAUGAUGAUGACAAACAUGCGUGUCAACUGACUCUGUCCGUCCCUGGUGUGUGGAUUCUCUCGUUGGCGUUUUGCCUCCGUGAGUCUUCAGGACACCAGGAACCCAGAGACGUGAUCAUACCAACACUACCCCUGAAUAC